GAUGAACGCUGGCGGCGUGCCUAACACAUGCAAGUCGAACGGAGAUUACGGACGGAAGUUUUCGGAUGGAAGCCUGUAAUUCUUAGUGGCGGACGGGUGAGUAACGCGUGGGCAACCUGCCCUAUACAGGGGGAUAGCAGCUGGAAACGGCUGGUAAGACCGCAUAAGUCGGUUAAAUCGCAUGAUUUGAUCGGGAAAUGAGCAAUCAGGUAUAGGAUGGGCCCGCGUCCGAUUAGCCAGUUGGCAGGGUAAAAGCCUACCAAAGCGACGAUCGGUAGCCGGACUGAGAGGUCGGACGGCCACAUUGGGACUGAGACACGGCCCAAACUCCUACGGGAGGCAGCAGUAGGGGAUAUUGCACAAUGGAGGAAACUCUGAUGCAGCGACGCCGCGUGAGUGAAGAAGUAUUUCGGUAUGUAAAGCUCUAUCAGCAGGGAAGAUGAUGACGGUACCUGACUAAGAAGCCCCGGCUAACUACGUG
rnacentral:rRNA from 1 species